rnacentral:rRNA from 1 species
AAUCAACGCUGGCGGCGUGCCUAACACAUGCAAGUCGAGCGCGAAAGGGGAGCAAUCCCCAAGUAGAGCGGCGAACGGGUGAGUAACGCGUGGGUAAUCUGCCUCCGAGUGGGGAACAACACCGGGAAACUGGUGCUAAUACCGCAUGACAUCGUUGGACCUUCGGAUCUGACGAUCAAAGACCGGGGACCGCAAGGCCUGGCGCUUGGAGAGGAGCCCGCGUCCGAUUAGCAGUUGGUGGGGUAAGUGGCCCACCAAGGCUACGAUCGGUAGCCGGCCUGAGAGGGCGGACGGCCACACUGGGACUGAGACACGGCCCAGACUCCUACGGGAGGC